rnacentral:rRNA from 1 species
AGAUUGAACGCUGGCGGAAUGCUCUACACAUGCAAGUCGAACGGCAGCGCGGACUUCGGUCUGGCGGCGAGUGGCGAACGGGUGAGUAACGUGUCGGAACGUGCCAAGUAAUGGGGGAUAACGCAGCGAAAGUUGUGCUAAUACCGCAUACGCUCUGAGGAGGAAAGCGGGGGACCUUCGGGCCUCGCGUUAUUUGAGCGGCCGACAUCUGAUUAGCUAGUUGGUAGGGUAAAGGCCUACCAAGGCAACGAUCAGUAGCGGGUCUGAGAGGAUGAUCCGCCACACUGGGACUGAGACACGGCCCAGACUCCUACGGGAGGCAGCAGUGGGGAAUUUUGGACAAUGGGGGCAACCCUGAUCCAGCCAUUCCGCGUGUCUGAAGAAGGCCUUCGGGUUGUAAAGGACUUUUGUCCGGGAGCAAAGCCUGUUCGUGAAUAACGGAUGGGGAUGAGAGUACCGGAAGAAUAAGCACCGGCUAACUACGUGCCAGCAGCCGCGGUAAUACGUAGGGUGCGAGCGUUAAUCGGAAUUACUGGGCGUAAAGCGUGCGCAGGCGGUAUUGUAAGUCUGAUGUGAAAGCCCCGGGCUUAACCUGGGAACGGCAUUGGAAACUGCAAAACUAGAGUACGUCAGAGGGGGGUAGAAUUCCACGUGUAGCAGUGAAGUGCGUAGAGAUGUGGAGGAAUACCGAUGGCGAAGGCAGCCCCCUGGGAUGAUACUGACGCUCAUGCACGAAAGCGUGGGGAGCAAACAGGAUUAGAUACCCU